AUUGAACGCUGGCGGCAUGCCUUACACAUGCAAGUCGAACGGCAGCACAGGAGCAAUCCUGGUGGCGAGUGGCGAACGGGUGAGUAAAGUAUCGGAACGUGCCCAGUCGUGGGGGAUAACGUAGCGAAAGUUACGCUAAUACCGCAUACGAUCUAUGGAUGAAAGCGGGGGAUCGCAAGACCUCGCGCGAUUGGAGCGGCCGAUAUCAGAUUAGGUAGUUGGUGGGGUAAAGGCUCACCAAGCCGACGAUCUGUAGCUGGUCUGAGAGGACGACCAGCCACACUGGGACUGAGACACGGCCCAGACUCCUACGGGAGGCAGCAGUGGGGAAUUUUGGACAAUGGGCGAAAGCCUGAUCCAGCCAUGCCGCGUGCAGGAUGAAGGCCUUCGGGUUAUAAACUGCUUUUGUACGGAACGAAAAGGUUUGGGCUAAUAAGCUGAGCUCAUGACGGUACCGUAAGAAUAAGCACCGGCUAACUACGUGCCAGCCGCCGUAACAC
rnacentral:rRNA from 1 species